rnacentral:tRNA from 1 species
GUCACUUUGCCGGAGUGGUUAACGGGAUCGCCUGCUAUCAAUUACGAAGGCAAACAAGCGGUUGGGCUUUGCCCGCGUGUGUUCGAAUCGCACAGGUGACG